rnacentral:lncRNA from 1 species
CAUUUAAUUCUUCUGUCUCUUAAAUGAAAGCUAAAGGUUUUGUUUUUUUUGCUAAUGACAGGACUCCUACUCCCAGUGAGGGAGCAGAAAUAAGAAAGAUGAAAAAGGUUGCAAAAGCCAUAAGACAAUCUUCAGCACUUUUACUAACUGCAGAGCCAUCACAACCGAAAACAGAACUGAAGUGGAAGGAACUAUGCCAUCAUUUGAUCACAUUAAAACUUUGCAGAAGGCAAAGGCAGACUAUGCAUCAUAAUCUUACUGUUUUUCUGGUGCCUAAAGUGAUAUGCAUGCUGUAG